UACGAAGGUUGCAAGCGUUACUCGGAAUUACUAGGCGUAAAGGGUAGGUAGGUGGUUUGGUAAGUCUAUUGUGAAAGCUCCCGGCUCAACUGGGAGAGGCCAAUGGAUACUACUAGGCUUGAGUAUAGGAGAGGUUACUGGAAUUCCCGGUGUAGCGGUGAAAUGCGCAGAUAUCGGGAGGAACACCAAUGGCGAAAGCAGGUAACUGGACUAUUACUGACACUCAACUACGAAAGCUAGGGGAGCAAACAGG
rnacentral:rRNA from 1 species